AUGGUGGAAUUGCCAGUCUGUCCGUGAGCUGAGCUGUGGCUGCAGGGCACUGUCAGGUAUUGUUGGCUAUGGUGGAAUUGCCAGUCUGUCCGUGAGCUGAGCUGUGGCUGCAGGGCACUGUCAGGUAUUGUUGGCUAUGGUGGAAUUGCCAGUCUGUCCGUGAGCUGAGCUGUGGCUGCAGGGCACUGUCAGAUGGUGGAAUUGCCAGUCUGUCCGUGAGCUGAGCUGUGGCUGCAGGGCACUGUCAGAUGGUGGAAUUGCCAGUCUGUCCGUGAGCUGAGCUGUGGCUGCAGGGCACUGUCAGAUGGUGGAAUUGCCAGUCUGUCCGUGAGCUGAGCUGUGGCUGCAGGGCACUGUCAGAUGGUGGAAUUGCCAGUCUGUCCGUGAGCUGAGCUGUGGCUGCAGGGCACUGUCAGAUGGUGGAAUUGCCAGUCUGUCCGUGAGCUGAGCUGUGGCUGCAGGGCACUGUCAGAGACCGACCAAACUGGAGAAUUUGAAUCAGAGAGGAAGCGAUGCACAACAAAUGCAGGGAGAAAUGGUGGAAUGGUGAUGGAAUCCUGCAGUGGUUCGGGUUGCAAGGGACCUUAAAGCUCAUGCAGCCCCACUCCCUGAGCAGGGACACCUUCCCCUAGCCCAGGGAAAAAGGCUGGAGCAAGAGGUUCCAAAAAGAACGGGGCUUUCUGCACGACGAAACCCGGGAGUGCCCGAUCCUGCCUGGAAGGCGGGGGUGAACGGGCGGUGGGCGCCGCCAUGAAAGGAGCCGAGGGGCAGGGACUUGUCCGUACAAGGAGUGUCGGGGCGUGCCCAUGGCCAUAAAAGGUAAACGAAGGGUGGGGAUAUGCCCGAAAAAGG